rnacentral:lncRNA from 1 species
GCUGGUUGAUUUGAAGAAUCUUCUGUGGAAGUGCUGCUUUCAGAAAUAUUUACAUCAGAUCUGAAUUUUUCCAAAAGUUACAUUUCUUCAACUGAUAAAUCUCCCAUAGAAGAAAAAUGAGCCUGAUUAUACUGACCUCGGCCUCUACCAAAACGACCACCUCCACGACCACGGCCUCUAUUUGGACGACCAUGUAGCUCAUAGCAGUAAGCUUUGAUGUGGCCCGGCUUAUGACAGUGGUCACAAAUUUUAACCCCACGAGGUCGAGGCUGAGUUUCUUGAGCAGAAUUAGGAGAAGAUCUUCCAAGAGUAUUAGGCUGUACCACAAGUGCAGAUCGUAU